GUAGGGAAUAUUGGUCAAUGGACGAAAGUCUGAACCAGCCAUUCCGCGUGCAGGAAGAAGAUUCUAUGGAUUGUAAACUGCUUUUAGCAGAGAAGAAACGCCUUCAUUGAUGAGGGUUUGACGGUAUCUGCGGAAUAAGCACCGGCUAACUCCGUGCCAGCAGCCGCGGUAAUACGGGGGGUGCAAGCGUUAUCCGGAAUCACUGGGUUUAAAGGGUGUGUAGGCGGGAAAUUAAGUCAGUGGUGAAAGUCUGUUGCUUAACGAUAGAAUUGCCGUUGAUACUGAUUUGCUUGAAUUGGGUUGAGGUUAGCGGAAUGUGACAUGUAGCGGUGAAAUGCAUAGAUAUGUCAUGGAACACCAAUUGCGAAGGCAGCUAGCUGGGCCUUGAUUGACGCUGAGGCACGAAAGCGUGGGUAGCGAACAGGAUUAGAUACCCCGGUAGUCA
rnacentral:rRNA from 1 species